rnacentral:rRNA from 1 species
UACGGAGGGUGCAAGCGUUAUCCGGAUUUACUGGGUUUAAAGGGUGUGUAGGCGGACUUUUAAGUCCGUGGUGGAAUCUCCGGGCUCAACCCGGAAACUGCCAUGGAUACUAUUGGUCUUGAAUAUUGUUGAGGUGGGCGGAACGGGUCAUGUAGCGGUGAAAUGCAUAGAUAUGACCCGGAACACCGAUUGCGAAGGCAGCCCACUAAGCAAUGAUUGACGCUGAGGCACGAAAGCGUGGGGAUCAAACAGG